rnacentral:rRNA from 1 species
AUUGAACGCUAGCGGGAUGCCUUACACAUGCAAGUCGAACGGCAGCACGGACUUCGGUCUGGUGGCGAGUGGCGAACGGGUGAGUAAUGUAUCGGAACGUGCCCAGUAGCGGGGGAUAACUACGCGAAAGCGUAGCUAAUACCGCAUACGCCCUACGGGGGAAAGCAGGGGAUCGCAAGACCUUGCACUAUUGGAGCGGCCGAUAUCGGAUUAGCUAGUUGGUGGGGUAACGGCUCACCAAGGCGACGAUCCGUAGCUGGUUUGAGAGGACGACCAGCCACACUGGGACUGAGACACGGCCCAGACGCCUACGGGAGGCAGCAGUGGGGAAUUUUGGACAAUGGGGGAAACCCUGAUCCAGCCAUCCCGCGUGUGCGAUGAAGGCCUUCGGGUUGUAAAGCACUUUUGGCAGGAAAGAAACGUCGCGGGUUAAUACCUCGCGAAACUGACGGUACCUGCAGAAUAAGCACCGGCUAACUACGUG